rnacentral:rRNA from 2 species
AGCGAACGCUGGCGGCAGGCUUAACACAUGCAAGUCGAGCGCCCCGCAAGGGGAGCGGCAGACGGGAGAGUAACACGUGGGAACAUACCUUUUGGUUCGGAACAACUGAGGGAAACUUCAGCUAAUACCGGAUAAGCCCUUACGGGGAAAGAUUUAUCGCCGAAAGAUUGGCCCGCGUCUGAUUAGCUAGUUGGUGAGGUAACGGCUCACCAAGGCGACGAUCAGUAGCUGGUCUGAGAGGAUGAUCAGCCUCACUGGGACUGAGACACGGCCCAGACUCCUACGGGAGGCAGCAGUGGGGAAUAUUGGACAAUGGGCGCAAGCCUGAUCCAGCCAUGCCGCGUGAGUGAUGAAGGCCUUAGGGUUGUAAAGCUCUUUUGCCCGGGAAGAUAAUGACGGUACCGGGAGAAUAAGCCCCGGCUAACUUCGUGCCAGCAGCCGCGGUAAUACGAAGGGGGCUAGCGUUGCUCGGAAUCACUGGGCGUAAAGCGCACGUAGGCGGAUCUUUAAGUCAGGGGUGAAAUCCCGGAGCUCAACUCCGGAACUGCCUUUGAUACUGAGGAUCUUGAGUUCGAGAGAGGUGAGUGGAACUGCGAGUGUAGAGGUGAAAUUCGUAGAUAUUCGCAAGAACACCAGUGGCG